rnacentral:rRNA from 1 species
AUUGAACGCUGGCGGCAUGCUUUACACAUGCAAGUCGAACGGUAACAGGCCUUCGGGUGCUGACGAGUGGCGAACGGGUGAGUAAUGCAUCGGAACGUACCCAGAGGUGGGGGAUAACGCAGCGAAAGCUGUUCUAAUACCGCAUGUGAUCUGAGGAUGAAAGCGGGGGACCGAGCAGCAAUGUUUGGCCUCGCGCCUUUGGAGCGGCCGAUGUCGGAUUAGCUAGUUGGUGGGGUAAAGGCCUACCAAGGCGACGAUCCGUAGCUGGUCUGAGAGGACGAACAGCCACACUGGGACUGAGAAACGGCCCAGACUCCGACGGGAGGCAGCAGUGGGGAAUUUUGGACAAUGGGCGAAAGCCUGAUCCAGCAAUGCCGCGUGAGGGAAGAAGGCCUUCGGGUUGUAAACCGCUUUUGGCAGGAACGAAACGGUGUCCGCUAAUACCGGGCGAUAAUGACGGUACCUGCAGAAUAAGCACCGGCUAACUACGUG